rnacentral:rRNA from 1 species
UACGGAGGGUGCGAGCGUUAAUCGGAAUUACUGGGCGUAAAGGGUGCGUAGGUGGUUAAUUAAGUUAUCUGUGAAAUCCCCGGGCUCAACCUGGGCAGGUCAGAUAAUACUGGUUAACUCGAGUAUGGGAGAGGGUAGUGGAAUUUCCGGUGUAGCGGUGAAAUGCGUAGAGAUCGGAAGGAACACCAGUGGCGAAGGCGGCUACCUGGCCUAAUACUGACACUGAGGCACGAAAGCGUGGGGAGCAAACAGG